rnacentral:misc_RNA from 1 species
CCUGCAUGUAGCGUGGCUGUGUGAUCAAAUCUGGGAGCUGGAGGUGUCUGCGUUGUCUCUAAUACAUCCCAAGUCAUUUUUUCCAAAUCAAGAGCAUAAAGAUCAUUAAGCAAUCUCCUGCUACUAUUUUCUCCACCAAAAAUUAUCAGCCUAGAACCAAUCAAAGUAGCAGAAUGGCCCCCUCGAGCUACCGGAGCAUUUCCUGAUGUUUCAAUGACACCACAGAGGUGUGUUUCCAGAUCAAUGAACCGCACUGUCAUACUAUCAGAAGAUUUCUUGGAAUGCCCACCAACAAGUAGUAGUUUGUUUCCCCACUUAACCAUACUGUGAUCUGAGGUGGC